AUUUCAUUCUGAUCGAUUGUCUUAAGCUUGCUUUAGAGUGGAUUAAAAAAUUUAAUUAAAUUGGUUUAAAUCUCAACAUAGUAGUCAAAAUAGGUUGCUUACUGUUCUCUUUAUUUUGCUUGCAAUGUUUCUUGUUUUUUAGCUGUUUCUUAUUCUGAUUUGGGGACAGAUAAUGGUUUGAUUGGUCAAUUUGAUGGUGGAUUCUAUUCUGCUUUUCUUGUUGCCAAAAAGAUUGUUGUUUCUACCAUUGAUCUGAUAAGCAAUAUGUAUGGGAAGUAGUUGCUGACAGUAACUCCUAUGUGAUUACACUCUACUUAAAAGUGAAAUACCAACGGAAAUUGAGUUGUUAUUUGGAUUGGUUUUAUUGAAAUUAUCAAGGAUGAGAGGCCAGUAGCAUAAGUGAGUGAUGGCAAUUCAAUAUUCUUGGAGGCAUUAUACAUGAGCAUGGGGAUAGGGUUCUUCACAGGCUUCUGUGGCUUCAUAGUUUCAGUAUUAUUCAUCUC